rnacentral:lncRNA from 1 species
CACAAUCUUGGGCAAGCUCAACCAUGCCAACAUAACUGAUUGAGGAGUUUUGGACAUUCGAUGAGCUCCCACUCCAGGAAGAAUUCUACACCAAGACAAUCAUCAUCUUAAAACUCAGGACAUUAUGCUACUCGAGAUGCCAACGUCGAAAGAAAGUUCCAAGAGAUACAUCAACUGAUUGAAGCCCUAAAAGGGCUGGCUUAGGCCCA